UACGGAGGGGGCUAGCGUUGUUCGGAAUUACUGGGCGUAAAGCGUACGUAGGCGGCUUUGUAAGUUAGAGGUGAAAGCCCGGGGCUCAACCCCGGAAUUGCCUUUAAGACUGCAUCGCUUGAAUCCAGGAGAGGUGAGUGGAAUUCCGAGUGUAGAGGUGAAAUUCGUAGAUAUUCGGAAGAACACCAGUGGCGAAGGCGGCUCACUGGACUGGUAUUGACGCUGAGGUGCGAAAGCGUGGGGAGCAAACAGG
rnacentral:rRNA from 1 species